rnacentral:rRNA from 1 species
GAUCAUGGCUCAGGAUGAACGCUAGCUACAGGCUUAACACAUGCAAGUCGAGGGGCAGCAUGGUCUUAGCUUGCUAAGAUUGAUGGCGACCGGCGCACGGGUGAGUAACGCGUAUCCAACCUUCCCUAUAGUAGGGGAUAGCCCGUAGAAAUGCGGAUUAAUACCCUAUGUUGUAUUUUGAGGACAUCUGACGAAUACCAAAGGUUUACCGCUAUAGGAUGGGGAUGCGUCUGAUUAGGUAGUCGGCGGGGUAACGGCCCACCGAGCCAACGAUCAGUAGGGGUUCUGAGAGGAAGGUCCCCCACAUUGGAACUGAGACACGGUCCAAACUCCUACGGGAGGCAGCAGUGAGGAAUAUUGGUCAAUGGGCGAGAGCCUGAACCAGCCAAGUAGCGUGCAGGAUGACGGCCCUAUGGGUUGUAAACUGCUUUUAUGCGGGGAUAAAGUGAGGGACGUGUCCCUUAUUGUAGGUACCGCAUGAAUAAGGACCGGCUAAUUCCGUGCCAGCCGCCGC